rnacentral:rRNA from 1 species
AGAGUUUGAUUAUGGCUCAGGAUGAACGCUAGCUACAGGCUUAACACAUGCAAGUCGAGGGGCAGCAGGACGAUAGCUUGCUAUUGUUGCUGGCGACCGGCGCACGGGUGAGUAACGCGUAUCCAACCUUCCCCUUAGUAGGGCAUAGCCCGUAGAAAUGCGGAUUAAUACCCUAUGUUGUUCGAUGCGGACAUCUAAGUUGAACCAAAGGUUUACCGCUAAGGGAUGGGGAUGCGUCUGAUUAGGCAGCAGGCGGGGUAACGGCCCACCUGGCCUACGAUCAGUAGGGGUUCUGAGAGGAAGGUCCCCCACAUUGGAACUGAGACACGGUCCAAACUCCUACGGGAGGCAGCAGUGAGGAAUAUUGGUCAAUGGGCGCGAGCCUGAACCAGCCAAGUAGCGUGCAGGAUGACGGCCCUAUGGGUUGUAAACUGCUUUUAUGCGGGGAUAAAGUGAGGGACGUGUCCCUUAUUGUAGGUACCGCAUGAAUAAGGACCGGCUAAUUCCGUGCCAGCCGCCGC